rnacentral:rRNA from 1 species
GACGAACGCUGGCGGCGUGCUUUACACAUGCAAGUCGAACGGAAAGGCCCUGCUUUCGUGGGUUGCUCGAGUGGCGAACGUGUGUGUAACACGUGAGUAACCUGCCCUUUACUUUGUGAUACCUUCAGGAAACUGCUGCUAAUACCUGCUAGGUGCUCCUGCUGCCUGGUGGGGGUUGGAACGUUUCGGCGGUUGGGGAUAGACGUGCGGUUUAUGAGCUUGUUGGUGGGGUAGUGGCUUACCAAGGCUUUGACGGCUAGGCGGCCUGAGUGGGUGGCCGGCGACAAGAGGCCUAAGAUACGGACCAGAGUCGUACGGGAGGCAGCAGGGGGGAAUAUUGCACAAUGGGCGGAAGCGUGAGGAAGAAGCGCUGCGGGCGGGAUGACGGCCUGGGAGGUGUAAACCGCUGAGGCCUGUGACGAAGCGUGAGUGACGGUAAUGGGUAAAGAAGCACCGGCUAACUACGUG